GGGGGUAUAGCUCAGCUGGUAGAGCGUCUCGUUCGCAAUGAGAAGGUCAGGGGUUCGACUCCCCUUACCUCCA
rnacentral:tRNA from 1 species